rnacentral:lncRNA from 1 species
GGGAAACUAAAGGUAGAGAGAAGGGAGAGCAAAAAGACGGAUUGAGAGAGUAGAGAGAUAAAUAAAGAUGAAAAAUGAAAUGGAUUGAAUGAAGUUUGAUUAUAUACUCCCUCGGUGUUCCCUCUAAUGCGUGCCAAGUGGCACUCCGAAGAGGUCUGGAUCAGUUGACUAUCCCAGUCAACUGAUGACCUCACGCACACAUGUGUAUCGUGUUCCCUUAUUGACUUUAGAUCUGAAACCUUCAUCCUUCAUACUUUGAUUGAUAAUUCAUAUCGAAG